rnacentral:sRNA from 1 species
AGUAGCCGGCGGCGGUGUCUCAGGCGGCAAUGGAAGGAUCCGAUCCUGUGGCCGCCCAUCAGCGGGAAGAGGCGUCCUGUUCUUCCUGGGGGACUGGCAGCACAAAUAAAAAUUUGCCCAUUAUGUCAACAGCAUCUGUGGAAAUCGAUGAUGCAUUAUACAGUCGACAGAGGUACGUUCUUGGAGACACAGCAAUGCAGAAGAUGGCCAAGUCCCAUGUUUUCUUAAGUGGGAUGGGUGGUCUUGGUUUGGAAAUUGCAAAGAAUCUUGUUCUUGCAGGGAUUAAGGCAGUUACAAUUCAUGAUACAGAAAAAUGCCAAGCAUGGGAUCUAGGAACCAACUUCUUUCUCAGUGAAGAUGAUGUUGUUAAUAAGAGAAACAGGGCUGAAGCUGUACUUAAACAUAUUGCAGAACUAAAUCCAUAUGUUCAUGUCACAUCAUCUUCUGUUCCUUUCAAUGAGACCACAGAUCUCUCCUUUUUAGAUAAAUACCAGUGUGUAGUAUUGACUGAGAUGAAACUUCCAUUGCAGAAGAAGAUCAAUGACUUUUGCCGUUCUCAGUGCCCUCCAAUUAAGUUUAUCAGUGCAGAUGUACAUGGAAUUUGGUCAAGGUUAUUUUGUGAUUUCGGUGAUGAAUUUGAAGUUUUAGAUACAACAGGAGAAGAACCAAAAGAAAUUUUCAUUUCAAACAUAACGCAAGCAAAUCCUGGCAUUGUUACUUGCCUUGAAAAUCAUCCUCACAAACUGGAGACAGGACAAUUCCUAACAUUUCGAGAAAUUAAUGGAAUGACAGGUUUAAAUGGAUCUAUACAACAAAUAACGGUGAUAUCGCCAUUUUCUUUUAGUAUUGGUGACACCACAGAACUGGAACCAUAUUUACAUGGAGGCAUAGCUGUCCAAGUUAAGACUCCUAAAACAGUUUUUUUUGAAUCACUGGAGAGGCAGUUAAAACAUCCAAAGUGCCUUAUUGUGGAUUUUAGCAAUCCUGAGGUAAAUAAACACUUUGCAGGUUUGAGAGAGGCAGCAGAAUCAGAGAUGAGAAUUAGUGAGUGAUUAUAAAGUUAAAAUGGAAUAACCAUGUAGGUAUCUUGCUGUCAGGCCUUAUAAUGUGAGUAUAAUAAAGGUUAUACUCACAUAUCUAAAGUUGACUUCUGAGGAUUAAAAAUGUGAAUUUGUAUCAUAAAAAAAACUUAAAGUAAUAGGAAAAAGUUUCACUUUUAUAAUGAUUUGCCAACUUUGAUAAUUAUAAGACGAUUUCAAUAACUUGUGCAAAGAUGAUCAUAUUAAAAGAUUUUCUGAAUCAUACCAUUUUAUAUAAUACAUAUGUCUUACCAAAAAAGCCUUGAGUAUGUAUUCUAUUUUUUUUAAAUGGAUGUAAUUUUGUAGCAGUAAAUGUGAUAAGGAAGGAACUAACAGUUUCCAAAUUUGUAAAUUUUAAUAAGGAAAGGGGAUUAAAUCAUUUACCUUCAUGGCCCUGAGGUUAAGUCAUUUAACUUCUAACCUUCAGGUUUCUUAUUUGUUAAAUAGAGUUAAUAACAGUAUUAAGCUAAUGUGUUUAUUAUGAUGGUUAAAUAAUGUUUUAAAAGUAUUUAGCCCAGUGCCUGGGACAUACAAGCACUCAGUAAAUGUUGGCCAAUUUUUAAUGUUCUCAAUAGGCACCUUUAGAGAUUCACACAGCUAUGCUUGCCUUGGACCAGUUUCAGGAGAAAUACAGUCGCAAGCCAAAUGUUGGGUAAUGUUUUAAGUUUAAAAAUAAGUAUUUUCCUUUUUAUAAAAGUAGGAGUUCAGAAAUUAUAAUUUAAAAAGUAACUAUGCCCUUUGUAAUUACAAUACCAAUAGAUAUACCAAGCUGUGCAAACAUUUAUUAUGACUUUCUGGUCCUUUUCCUGGUGGGAGUGGAGAAAUUGGUUUAUAAAAGUGGAAUCAUACUAAAUGUGAAUUUUUCCACUUUGAAGCCUUUAAAAAUUAAAGCUUCUUAAAACAAAAAAAAUUCUGAGAAUUACUGAAUUAUUAACCCAUAGUAAUUUUUUUUUUAACUUUAUACCCUGUUAAGUCAGAGUACUGUUGCAGAAGGUUUUUGCUUUUUAUAUUUGGGAUUAAAUCUUGGGAUUGGGUGUUGUGGCUCCCACCUAUGAUCCCAGGACUUUGGGAGGCUGAAGCGGGUGGAUCACUUGAGGCCAGGAGUUCAAGACCAGCCUGGCCAACAUGGCGAAACCCUGUCUCUGCUAAAAAUACAGAAAUUACCAGGCGUGGUGGUGCAUGCCGGUAAUCCCAGCUCCUUGGGAGGCUGAGGCACAAGAAUCGCUUGAACCAGGAGGCAGAGGGUGCAGUGAGCCAAGAUUGCACCACUGCACUCCAGCCUGGGUGACAGUGAGACUGUCUC